rnacentral:lncRNA from 1 species
GCGUCUCAGUCUGAUGGCCAACCACUGGCUCCGACCCAAGGCGAGUUUCUCUCUCUCACUCACUCACUAACUCAUCUGUGUGAUGGUGGUUUGAUUGGUGCUGCGCAGGGGUGCUGCAACCAGCCACCUAACCAUGAAGCUAUCAGUUUAUUUGCGCCAAUCUCGUGCUACUUGGGGAUUUGUUUGUUGGCUCGAUAUCGGAGCUUUGGUUGUAUGAACAGAACAUUUUCUUUUAGUUUUAUAAUCUAUGCAGCUGUAGCCUUGUAGCUUUCUUGGGCAAUAAUGAGGUGAGUAUCAUUUCCUCAGGUCCUGUUCUGACUGACAAAUCUAUUGCAAUUAUGUUCUGUUUUCACGAGAUCACAUUCUAGGGAACUAGCUAAGUUGUUAGCUAUGUUUUUUUAACAUUAGCCGAGUCUUUUAUUGUCUUAGUAGAUUUUGAAAAUCAUUGAAAUUCUUUGUUAGUAUUAAUUAGUCAUGAUGUAAUGCAGUCAACAGUGAUCUGUGUUAGGGGCUUAGGCCUGGUUGCACUUUUAUAUUUUUUAACCGAGCUUAUUGUACUUACCUUUUUUCCAAAAAUUAUUAAUUUCUCUCUGCUAUCUUCCAACUUUGCACUUUUCUUGACAAAUAUGUUUUCCAUCUGAGGAUAUUAUAGUCUCCUAAACUAAUAUUUCUCCUCUGUUGUUUAGAAACUUCCCAGUAUAAGUAUUUUUCAGUUUAUAUAAAAAAACACAUUAGGUAUUAAGAAUGUUAUUUUAAUUGAGAAAAAAGUUCUUAUUAUUUAAAGUUAAGAGGGUCGGGCAUGAGCAUGAUGUCAUUAAGCCUUCAAGUUGAUUAUCUCUAUAACAGAUCAGAUAUAUUUUGAUAUUUUCCAAUUGCUACUGCUUUAAAAGCCUCCAUGCUAUAUUAAACUGCCAUGCUGAUCUUGUUUGUGUUGGAGUUUCAAGAGACCUACUGAACCUUACUACUUUGUACAAACUAUUUUAAUAUCCUGCUCUAACUAUGAUUUCACCUUUUCCAUAUUUUACAGUGACUCAAGUGACUCAGAUGAUGAAUAUUUGGAUACAUGCAUAUGCUCAAUCAUGUAAAUACAUCUUGCACAGGUGGAUUCUAUCAUGUGUAUAAAGAGCUGUAUCUCAGUAUUCCUGUCUUCGGCUUGGCCCUAACAGUACAGUGCAAUCAUGCAUGCAUGCAUAGUUCGUUCCAACAGACUCCGAACUGGUGAUAAUCAGCGGGUGGAUAUUUAGCUGGCCUUAACUGGGAGUUACAUCAAAGACCUAGAAAAUGAUCACCGGAUUCAGUAGGUACACAUGAUUAAAGAAGCCGAGAAAGAAUGCCUUUCUUUGGUUAAAUUUUGGAUACCAACAGCAUCCUGAGUUUCUGUUCGUGACGAUGGGCGUUGUCGUUAGCAUCUGUAUAUUUCAGCUCUUCCGGAACAUCACCGGCAACCUUGAAGUCAGGUCCGG